UACGAAGAUCAAUUUGAAACUUUCAGUAUUUCUCUAAAAAUCAUUUUGGCAGACUGGCUAUGCAAAGCAUACAGAUUGGUUUAACAAGUAAAUUACCUCUUUGGAAAGUGGUGGCACAGAGUUCCCCACAUCAUGUGGAUACAAAAGUAAAACACAUUGUAUGGAUAGGUUUAAACUUUGAGAAUAAUGUUAUUGGAAAAACUUGGAACAAUUGUUACUAAAAUGAUCCAGGAAAUGGUGCCUGCUGAGAUCCCAUGGCUUCAAAGUUGAUGACCUUAAGGUCACGACAUUUUCUGUAGUUGAUUCUUGUUGUACAUUUGUUGUCAUGUGUGGCUGCCUGACAAAUCCGACACAUAUAUUUUUAUGCGUCUGUGUAACUGACAUGUGUGCUUUUUCCAUUCUUACAUUCAAAGGAAGUGUCGAUCUUAUUCUAACACUAGUAGCUAGGUAGGUGGAUUAUAUUAAAACAAUUCUAGUCUUUCUCUAUACCCCACAGGUAUGUAGAUGUCAGUAUUUUGCUGUCAGUUUCAGUAAUCACAUUCAGUGUUUGGGCUGUGACUGCUUAGUUUUUAUUCUCAUUCAUAGACACAAGAAAUUAAUUUCUCUUUGUUGAUGUUCAUUAACAACUAACAUGGCCGGUUUUCUGAUCAUUCUCGGUCGCUGUGUCCAGUGGAAUAUCUGUGCAUGUCCAUUGUGUUGAGGUCUAGACAUGUUCUUACAGAGGACAAUGUAUCUAUUUGAACUAAUAAUAGAUUCUAACUUCAGCAGGAAUCUCGUCUUUAGAUCUUGUGUUAUAUAACUUAAUAAUGGGUGGUUUAUCAUUGAAAGUUUUAUCAUUUAGAGUUUAUUUUGGUGUGAUUUCGGUUUUUUUACGUUUCUCUAAAUAAUCCAUCCAGGGGGCUUCUCCUACAACAAGGUGUGCACUACACACCAUGUGUGUUCCCUUACAACAAGGUGUAUGCUACACGUCGUGUGUGUUCCCUUACAACAAGGUGUAUGCUACACGUCAUGUGUGUUCCCUUACAACAAGGUGUAUGCUACACGUCAUGUGUGUUCCCUUACAACAAGGUGUGUGCUACACGUCGUGUGUGUUCCCUUACAACAAGGUGUAUGCUACACGUCGUGUGUGUUCCCUUACGUAAGUUACAACAAGGUGUGUGCUCCACAUCUGUAUAUUUUUGCCGUAACCGUUGACGGGCUCUGUGACAGACCUUAGUGCUGUGACACCUUCAUCUUGCCGUUCUCCAGAAAAUUCUGAUGCUCUCUCUCAUUCACACAUACACACACAAAUCUCUCUCCUUCUGCUGUUUGUGAUAUGGUCCCAUUAUUCCUGGUGGAAUCACACAGCUUCCUGUUCUAUUUAUAAAGUUCUGUGUUUACAAAUUCAAAGUUUUUCUUAUACAGAGAUUUAAUGUUUUUAUUUUUAUCUUUAUUGGCCAAGUCGUGCGUUGUUUGGAAACUGGAUAUUUUGUUUCGUAUUGUGAUGUGAGGUUGUUGUUUUUAAGAAGUUACACAUUUUUAGAUUAGUGGAUAAGAUUUCAGAGAUCCUUUGACUUUGAGAAUGACGGUGAUGACUAUAUUAUUUUGUUGUUAGUGAUGUUAGACUAACUUGUGAUAUGUGUACUUGAUUUUUAACGUUUGAACUUGUUAUUUUGACUAUAUUUCUGUCCGUCCGACAGUUCGAUAGUUCAAAGCACACUAUUUGACUAUUCCGUCCCAACCUUCAAAGCAUUCCUUAUGUUUCUCUUUCAGAAGUAUUGCUUGUAUGCACAAAGUUUUCGUUAUUUACAUGUAUUUUUUAUAUAUAUUUUAAUUAAUUUAGGAGUCUAAGUCACAUUUACUUUAAGUAUUUACUACUUCAUAUAUUCUUAUAAAUUUUAGGAUACAGUGUGUGAUCAAUACAAAAAAAUCCCUCCAUUAUAUACAUGACAUAGAUGUUUAUAAUUCAAAAAAUUUUCGUAGAGAAGAAGAAAAAAAGGUUUAACCAUGCCUUGACUUAUGGUAUACUGCAUUACAAUCAGUUUGUGGUAGCGAGAUGAACUCCCCUACACUGAGCUGAGCACCGUGCUAAUUUUGCGGUUCAUCUGAAACUCUACAGCUUUGUACUGUCCCCCAUCUUUUGUAAUAAACACAGAUUGUCUACAGA
rnacentral:lncRNA from 1 species